rnacentral:tRNA from 1 species
UUGCGGGUAGCUUAAAGUUGGAAAAGCUUCGGAUUCUUACUCCGGUGAUGUCUGGGACCCUGCGAU